GUCAGCAGUUCUGUCCGUGUGUAUCAACUCCACCAUCAAGCCAGCACCUCAGAAAGCCAAUAUUGUAUGGAGUCGAGAACAGGGAAGUCCGAUUGAUAUACCACAUCAAGAACAGACAUCAUUGAGUGAGGUUAAUGGUUGUUUCUUGUCCAGUCUUACCAUAUGGUUCCCACUUAUUGAUGGGGCUACUGGAAAUUACACCAUUACCGUCACUACAACUGCCGGUUCUUCAAAACUGACAAUUCCUCUUCGUUUCACCAUUCCACUUUGUAAAGUACCAACAAUCCACCAUGGUCACGCAUAUGCAACAGGUGUUUUUGGAGACGUAACUGAAAAGACGUCUUCAGAUUAUGGGGUAGAAUGUCCUACUGGUUUUAAACUGUCCACUUUGUCCCAUAGUAAAUGUGAAAGAUCACCUGAUGGAAAAGCUAUUUACAAGAAUUUACCAGAGUGUCACGUCAUUGACAUAUGUGAUUGUCAUAGCAACGCAACGUGUACCGUGACUGAUCAGUCUUACACGUGUCAGUGCAAGGUUGGUUUCUCUGGAGAUGGGCAAACGU